rnacentral:piRNA from 1 species
UCCCAGGAAAGAGUUUCCUAUAGUUGGUA